CAAAACUCACCGACCGGCGUAGACCGGCGUUUUCAUUUCUUUCAAAGUAAAGAAACAACGUUGCAGUAUGUAGAGAGAAAGAACGUGUUUAGAGGUGACGAAAGUGAAGAACUAGGGGAACGCUUUCAUCAAGAUAUCAAGGAAAUGGAGCGUCGUUCUUAAGGGCAAUGGGAUGAAGACAUGUCACAUUUAAAUUAAAUUUCGCGGAAUACAAACAGAUUUUUUAUCUAUUCAUCGUUUUCUGUGCACGUGGAGGAAAAUCCAACAGCUAGGUUUGAGUAUGGAAAACAAAGAUCGCAAUCCAACUUUGGGAAGUCGCCUCGAUAUGUCUUCGGCCUAAACUAUUUGGAUGCUGAAGAACUAAGAAGUGGAUUCAUGGAUUUUGUCGCCAUUCAACCCGAACACACAUACUUGGCAAAUUUUGCGGUGUUUCUGGCGGAAAAUUAAGUCGGACCGAAACGAAAAUUUAUUGCGUCUAAAAUUGACCAAUAUAAGAAAAGCGAAUUCAAGUCGACGUUCUGCUUUCUUAAAUGUAUUUGAUUUUGUUAAAUCAUUUAAAAAAUGUCAAAAUAAAUUUU